rnacentral:rRNA from 1 species
AUUGAACGCUGGCGGCAGGCCUAACACAUGCAAGUCGCGCGAGCGGCGGACGGGUGAGUAAUGUCUGGGAAACUGCCUGAUGGAGGGGGAUAACUACUGGAAACGUUAGCUAAUACCGCAUACCCUCAGAUUUGCCCCGAUGGGAUUCGCUAGUAGGUUGGGUAACGGCUCACCUAGGCGACGAUCCCUAGCUGGUCUGAGAGGAUGACCAACCACACGGGAACUGAGACACGGUCCAGAGUCCUACGGGAGGCAGCAGUGGGGAAGAGUGCACAAUGGGCGCAAGCCUGAUGCAGCCAUGCCGCGUGUGUGAAGAAGGCCUUCGGGUUGUAAAGCACUUUCAGCGGGGAGGCGUUACCCGCAGAAGAAGAACCGGCUAACUCCGUGCCAGCAGCCGCGGUAAUUC